rnacentral:rRNA from 1 species
GCAGGCGCGAAACCUUUACACUGCACGCCAGUGCGAUAAGGGGACUCCGAGUGCGAGGGCAUAUAGUCUUCGCUUUUCACCACCGUAAGGUGGUGGUGGAGUAAGUGCUGGGCAAGACCGGUGCCAGCCGCCGCGGUAAUACCGGCAGCCCGAGUGAUGACCGCUAUUAUUGGGCCUAAAGCGUCCGUAGCUGGCCAGGCAAGUCCAUCGGGAAAUCCGCGUGCCCAACGCGCGGGCGUCCGGUGGAACCUGCUUGGCUUGGGACCGGAAGACCAGAGGGGUACGUCCGGGGUAGGAGUGAAAUCCCGUAUCCUGGACGGACCACCGGUGGCGAAAGCGCCUCUGGAGGACGGAUCCGACGGUGAGGGACGAAAGCUCGGGUCACGAACCGGAUUAGAUACCCGGGUAGUCCGAGCUGUAAACGAUGUCUGCUAGAUGUGCCACAGGCUACGAGCCUGUGGUGUGUCGUAGGGAAGCCGAGAAGCAGACCGCCUGGGAAGUACGUCCGCAAGGGUGAAACUUAAAGGAAUUGGCGGGGGAGCACUACAACCGGAGGAGCCUGCGGUUUAAUUGGAGUCAACGCCGG